UACAGAGGUCCCGAGCGUUGUUCGGAUUCACUGGGCGUAAAGGGUGCGUAGGUGGCAUGUUAAGUUUGAUGUGAAAGCUCAGGGCUUAACCCUGAAAUGGCAUUGAAUACUAGCGUGCUGGGGGUUUGGAGGGGGGACUGGAAUUCUCGGUGUAGCAGUGAAAUGCGUAGAUAUCGAGAGGAACACCAGUGGCGAAGGCGAGUCCCUGGACAACACCUGACACUGAGGCACGAAAGCCGGGGGAGCAAACAGG
rnacentral:rRNA from 1 species